rnacentral:rRNA from 1 species
UACGAAGGGGGCGAGCGUUGUUCGGAAUCACUGGGCGUAAAGCGCACGUAGGCGGAUUGUUAAGUCAGGGGUGAAAUCCUGGAGCUCAACUCCAGAACUGCCUUUGAUACUGGCGAUCUUGAGUCCGGGAGAGGUGAGUGGAACUGCGAGUGUAGAGGUGAAAUUCGUAGAUAUUCGCAAGAACACCAGUGGCGAAGGCGGCUCACUGGCCCGGUACUGACGCUGAGGUGCGAAAGCGUGGGGAGCAAACAGG